GCCGGGGUGGCGGAAUUGGUAGACGCGCCAGUCUUAGGAACUGGUAGGGAAACCUGUGGAGGUUCGAGUCCUCUCCCCGGCA
rnacentral:tRNA from 1 species